rnacentral:rRNA from 1 species
AUUGAACGCUGGCGGCAUGCCUUACACAUGCAAGUCGAACGGCAGCAUGGAAGAGCUUGCUCUUCUGAUGGCGAGUGGCGAACGGGUGAGUAAAGCAUCGGAACGUACCGUGUAGUGGGGGAUAACGUAGCGAAAGUUACGCUAAUACCGCAUACGCACUGAGGUGGAAAGCAGGGGAUCGCAAGACCUUGCGCUAUACGAGCGGCCGAUGUCAGAUUAGCUAGUUGGUAGGGUAAAGGCCUACCAAGGCGACGAUCUGUAGCGGGUCUGAGAGGAUGAUCCGCCACACUGGGACUGAUACACGGCCCAGACUCCUACGGGAGGCAGCAGUGGGGAAUUUUGGACAAUGGGGGAAACCCUGAUCCAGCCAUGCCGCGUGAGUGAAGAAGGCCUUCGGGUUGUAAAGCUCUUUCGGCUGGGAAGAAAUCGCACAGGCUAAUACUCUGUGUGGAUGACGGUACCAGCACAAGAAGCACCGGCUAACUACGUGCCAGCCGCCGCCGUAA